rnacentral:rRNA from 1 species
GACGAACGCUGGCGGCGUGCCUAAUACAUGCAAGUAGAACGCUGAAGAGAGGAGCUUCCUCUUCUUGGAUGAGUUGCGAACGGGUGAGUAACGCGUAGGUAACCUGCCUUGUAGCGGGGGAUAACUAUUGGAGACGAUAGCUAAUACCGCAUAACAAUGGAUGACACAUGUCAUUUAUUUAAAAGGGGCAAUUGCUCCACUACAAGAUGGACCUGCGUUGUAUUAGCUAGUAGGUGAGGUAAUGGCUCACCUAGGCGACGAUACAUAGCCGACCUGAGAGGGUGAUCGGCCACACUGGGACUGAGACACGGCCCAGACUCCUACGGGAGGCAGCAGUAGGGAAUCUUCGGCAAUGGGGGCAACCCUGACCGAGCAACGCCGCGUGAGUGAAGAAGGUUUUCGGAUCGUAAAGCUCUGUUGUAAGUCAAGAACGGGUGUGAGAGUGGAAAGUUCACACUGUGACGGUAGCUUACCAGAAAGGGACGGCUAACUACGUG